GUUCUAGGGUCGAAGGAGUCCCCACACUGUACUGAGACCGAACAGACUCCUACGGAGGCAGCAGUGAGGAUAUGUCAUGUCGCAGACUGAUAGCAUGUCGCGUGCAGAGACGUCUAUGAUGUAAACUGCUUUUUACGGGAAGAAAACAGCUACGUGUAGCUUUUGCCGGUACCGUAGGAAUAAGGAUCGGCUAACUCCGUGCCAGCAGCCGCGGUAAUACGGAGGAUUCGAGCGUUAUCCGGAUUUAUUGGGUUUAAAGGGUGCGUAGGCGGGAUCUUAAGUCAGGGGUGAAAUCUUGCGGCUCAACCGUAAAAUUGCCUUUGAUACUGGGAUUCUUGAAUUAAUUCAGAGUAGGCGGAAUGUGUCAUGUAGCGGUGAAAUGCAUAGAUAUGACACAGAACACCGAUAGCGAAGGCAGCUUACUGGGAUUUUAUUGACGCUAAAGCACGAAAGCGUGGGUAGCGAACAGGAUUAGAUACCCUGGUAGUCCACGCCGUAAACGAUGAUCACUAGUUGUUGGCGAUACACAGUCAGUGACUGAGCGAAAGUAUUAAGUGAUCCACCUGGGGAGUACGUUGGCAACAAUGAAACUCAAAGGAAUUGACGGGGGCCCGCACAAGCGGAGGAACAUGUGGUUUAAUUCGAUGAUACGCGAGGAACCUUACCCGGGCUUGAAAGUUAGCGAUGGAUUUGGAAACAGAUCUUCCCUUCGGGGCGCGAAACUAGGUGCUGCAUGGUUGUCGUCAGCUCGUGCCGUGAGGUGUCGGGUUAAGUCCCAUAACGAGCGCAACCCCUAUCGAUAGUUGCCAGCGAGUAAUGUCGGGGACUCUAUCGAGACUGCCGGUGUAAACCGCGAGGAAGGUGGGGAUGACGUCAAAUCAGCACGGCCCUUACGUCCGGGGCGACACACGUGUUACAAUGGUCGGUACAGAGGGUAGCUACCUGGUGACAGGAUGCCAAUCUCUAAAGCCGAUCUCAGUUCGGAUUGGAGGCUGAAACUCGCCUCCAUGAAGUUGGAUUCGCUAGUAAUCGCACAUCAGCCAUGGUGCGGUGAAUACGUUCCCGGGCCUUGUACACACCGCCCGUCAAGCCAUGGAAGUUGGGGGUGCCUGAAGUACGUGACCGCAAGGAGCGUCCUAGGGCAAAACCGAUAACUGGGGCUAAGUCGUAACAAGGCCGUAAA
rnacentral:rRNA from 1 species